rnacentral:misc_RNA from 1 species
UACGGAGAGUGCGAACGUUGUUCGGAUUUACUGGGCGUAAAGGGCCCGUAGGCGGCCCGGCAAAUCGGUCGUGGAAUCCCGGCGCUUACCGUCGGAAUGGCGGCCGAAAAUACCGGGCUCGAGGGCGUGAGGGGUCGCUGGAACUCUUGGUGAAGCGGUGAAAUGCGUAGAUAUCAAGAGGAACGCCGGAGGCGAAAGCGAGCGACUGGCGCGUACCUGACGCUGAGGGGCGAAAGCUAGGGGAGCAAACAGG